rnacentral:rRNA from 1 species
AGUCGACGGCAGCGCGGGGCAACCUGGCGGCGAGUGGCGAACGGGUGAGUAAUAUAUCGGAACGUACCCUGGAGUGGGGGAUAACGUAGCGAAAGUUACGCUAAUACCGCAUACGAUCUAAGGAUGAAAGUGGGGGAUCGCAAGACCUCAUGCUCCUGGAGCGGCCGAUAUCUGAUUAGCUAGUUGGCGGGGUAAAAGCCCACCAAGGCAACGAUCAGUAGCUGGUCUGAGAGGACGACCAGCCACACUGGAACUGAGACACGGUCCAGACUCCUACGGGAGGCAGCAGUGGGGAAUUUUGGACAAUGGGCGCAAGCCUGAUCCAGCAAUGCCGCGUGAGUGAAGAAGGCCUUCGGGUUGUAAAGCUCUUUUGUCAGGGAAGAAACGGUGGGGGCUAAUAUCCCCCGCUAAUGACGGUACCUGAAGAAUAAGCACCGGCUAACUACGUGCCAGCAGCCGCGGUAAUACGUAGGGUGCAAGCGUUAAUCGGAAUUACUGGGCGUAAAGCGUGCGCAGGCGGUUUUGUAAGUCUGUCGUGAAAUCCCCGGGCUCAACCUGGGAAUUGCGAUGGAGACUGCAAGGCUAGAGUUUGGCAGAGGGGGGUAGAAUUCCACGUGUAGCAGUGAAAUGCGUAGAUAUGUGGAGGAACACCGAUGGCGAAGGCAGCCCCCUGGGUCAAAACUGACGCUCAUGCACGAAAGCGUGGGGAGCAAACAGGAUUAGAUACCCUGGUAGUCCACGCCCUAAACGAUGUCUACUAGUUGUCGGGUCUUAAUUGACUUGGU